CUGAGUGGUCCUAUCCUUUGAGUCUCAGGCCCUCUCUGAAUUUCUGGAUGAAGCAGGAUCAACUAGGGGGUCUCUGGGCCCAUAUCCCCUAUUCCCUCGCUGAACCCACCAGGGUAGCAUUCCACCCAGUUCCUGAUCAGGAGAGGGCUGGACACUGACCCUUGAGGAAGGAGUGCGAGCAUGGUCACUGCAGAAAGUCCUCCUGCCUUGGAGCUUUAGGAUGUUGGGUUCCCGAACUCUAGUUGAAAAGCCUGGUGUUGAGCCUCCCACUGGCCAGUACGUCUCUCCAGCCUGGUUCUGGCUAAGAUGGAGCUAGAAGGCACGUCUCUCCUAUCCUCCCUACCAUCCCUGGACUCAGACCAGGUGUUUGGCAACGUCUUUGAGACAGGGUGGUUUCCAACCUGUCUUCCAUCCUGAGCUGUAUCUGACCCUUCUAAUUUUGGCCAGCUGGGACCAGCUCUGUCACCUCCGCCCCAUCUGACACAGGAGGAAACUGGUCCAGCCCUAGAGUGAAUCAGGUUGAAGUGAGAAAAGGGGGACAGACUACCCCAAGGGACUGCCAGUGUCAGGCCUGGAGAUUUCCCCCAUAUUCCUCCUGCACACAGCCCUUUUUGGACUGAGAGAAGCAGCUCCCAGCUCCCCUGCCUGGGCGCUGCCUAAAACUCUUAACCUCUUCUCCAAGAAACAGCCCCGGGAGUAUUACCCACUAACAGAGCCAUGAUUCACAACUCUAGCCACAGCAAAGGCCUGGCCUAUGUGGGUAAGAUCCUGAGGAGGCAGGAGAGGGACAGGGAAGGAGUAUGGGUAGGGGCAGGGGGAGCCCUGGCCCUCCUCCCCUUUCCUCCUGGAGCCUCCAGGGGUCUCAGGCAGCAUCAUCCCAGUCUACUGUACCCUCCUGGCCACUGUGGUCUUCGGUCUGCUUGCCUACGUGGCCUUCAAGUGGACCACAUCCUGAGCUUGGGUGCCGACUUUACCUUGAUCUCCCUCUGCAGGACCAGGAGAAAGUGGAGCGGCUGUUAGAGGUGUCACGUGAACCUGACAAGGGCGGGUGGGGACUGGCAGACCAUCUGGGCUACCGGGCUGAGGCUGUAGAAAUCAUGGCCCAAGGCCAGGUGUGAGCCUACACACUGCUGAGGGACUGGGCUAUCCAAGAAGACAGUGGUGCCACCCACAAGGUGCUAGAGAAUGCCCUGGUUGCCAUGGGCCAGGAAGAUGUGGUCCAGGUCCUGGGCUCCUAAGCUGAGGGCUGCUCUGUGGUGUCAGUGCUGUCUCCAUAGCUUGGACUCUCUGAGCCUGCUCCGGUGCUCCCCUACCCCCAUCUAUCUUUCCCUUCGUGGGCUUCCUGGGGUUGCUGGGCUCAGCCUGCUCUGUUCUGGGGAAGAAAACCGAAGAUCUAGCCACCAUUCACUUCCCCUCAUCCACCCAUCCCCUCCAGAAGAGGGCCCAAGAUAUGGUGAGGAGUGGGCAGUGAGGAGUGGUCCUGCCCUUUGGAUCCCUACUCCACCUCCUCUUAUUAAGCCUCAGCUGGUUUUGCUACUUUUGUAACCCAUAUUAAAGGUGAUUCGGACUU
rnacentral:sRNA from 1 species